rnacentral:rRNA from 1 species
GUCCACUGAACCUUAUCAUUUAGAGGAAGGAGAAGUUA